AACGUAGGUGGCGAGCGUUAUCCGGAUUUACUGGGCGUAAAGGGUGUGCAGGCGGGCUGUUAAGUGGUGUAUGAAAUAUCCCGGCUCAACCGGGAAGGGUUAUGCCAGACUGGCAGUCUAGAGAGCGAGAGAGGGACGUGGAAUUCCGGGUGUAGUGGUGAAAUGCGUAGAGAUCCGGAGGAACACCGAAGGCGAAGGCAGUGUCCUGGCGAGUGACUGACGCUGAGGUGCGAAAGCUAGGGGAGCGAACGGG
rnacentral:rRNA from 1 species